rnacentral:piRNA from 1 species
UGGACCGUGCAAAGACAGUGCUGCCGUG